UCUUCGAUGCACAAACACUGGAUGCCAUAAGACAUCGAGCCAUAUGCUUUAACCUCUCGGCUCAUAUAGAAAGUUUAGGGAAGGGACACAGUGUUGUUUUUCAUAGUACUGUAAUAGCUAAGAGAAAGGAGGAAUCUGGGAAGAUAAAGCUUUUGCUUCAUUGGAUGCCCGAAGACAUUCUGCCAGAUGUAUGGGUGAAUGAAAGUGAGCGACAUCAGUUAAGAACUAAAGUAGUUCAUUUAUCAAAACUACCCAAAGACACUGCCUUGCUGCUGGACCCAAACAUCUACAGAACAAUGCCACAGAAGAGGUUGAAGAGGUAAAACAUUCAUAAAUACAUAAAAGCAAACAAGCGGGGAACCUGCAGUCUUAGUCACUGACAAUGGGUUAGGGAAAGUUGCACAUUACAGUCAACCCCGUCCUCUUUUACUUUUAAGCCCAGUAUUUAGAGUAAUAUUUAUGCCUAGUGUGGACCUUCUGUGACUGGAGUAGAUCCUGUGUGGAGCAUAUUAAUAUGCCUGUAGCCCACAUGGCUGUGGGACACUGCGCAGACACUUGCUGGCACCUCAGUGGAACAGCUUCUGAAAGGAAGGAAGGAAGGAAGGAAGGAAGGCUUUGCAUGCUCGCUGCCUAGGCUGCUGAUUUCUCCCCUAGUGACUGUAGCAGCAGUCGUAUUUGGAAAGACAAGCAAUUGCCCUUAAAUACCAAAGCACUGUGAGAUAACCAUCUUGACAGUGUGAGUUGAUUUGAAGUCCUAAGGGAAAAUAUUUAGACAGUGGAAAUUAUCAAGAGAUAAUUAACCUUUCAGUUAUGAUAAAUAGAUGUGAUUGGUUGCCAUUUGUGUUCUUUUGCAGAACUCUGAUAAGAAAAAUGUUCAAUUUGUAUUUAAGCAAACAGUGAACGACGUUUGCAAUCAACUAAAAAUUCGUCUAUCGAGUUAGGUCUGAGAAUUGCUAUAAAGAGUGUGGCCGUAUGUCUGAUGGCUCCCUUUUCAGGACUAGGGUCUCACGGGGCACAGUGUGUUAAUAUUUACCUAAAUAACUCUUGUCAAUGGUUUUUGAAAAAAACCUCGGUUUCAAAAUAUUUGAAUGAUCUCCAUAUUUUCAUUUAACCUCUGACUCUUUAAAUUUUUUUCCUGAGGAAAGUGUUUUGAGUUUUUUAACGUUAAAAAAAUUGUAUUUUUUUUAAAAUAUCUUCAAACUGAAUCUUUUAUGCACCAAAGUUGGUUUUGAAAAGGAAAAUAAAAUCACUUUCUUGCUUGGCAGGCAAGAAGCCAUAUGGAAUUUUUUUAACUUUUACAGAAAUGUGUAACUUGUCAGUACUGUAUCAAACAAAUGUUGCAUAGAGAUAAUAGAGCGUUGCUUGUAAAUAAUUCAGCAGAUUUGUAAUAUAUUUUUCUAUUAUGAAAUGUACUGUAGAUGUUUUCUAGAGGCAUGAAAGUCAAUGUAUAUAUUAUGGUAGAAAUAAUAUUGAAGGAAAUUGUAACUCACUAGUGCUGCCAGAGGGAUUGCUAACAAAGCACCUUUAACGAGAGAUGUCUGUGCAGACUGAAGGGACUGUGUACUACUGUUAAUGUCUAAGAACAAAGCAUUGGGCAUCAUUCCAGAAAGUCCAGGGAGGACCCUGACCUGUAAUAGUUUACGGCACCCCCUCUGACAGAGGCUGAGGCAGUCGUUCCUCACUGUUGGAGCAGCACUGUAGCAUGUGCUGUGCAGUCAGACUGCAGAAACCGCUCCUCACUUGGAGUUCUCGCUUCCUACAGUGUCAGGAAUACCAGCAGUUUUUACUCUAAGUUUUUAAAGAAUAGACAAUAUAAAAUUAAUCCUUUAGUUCCAAAAUGGGAAACGUUCCAUGAUGCAUAGAUCAUUUCUCAUUUGCUUAAAAAAUGAAAGACCACCCACAGGGUCUUAAAAGAAUGGGAGGCUGAAAUGGUGGGGGUUGAAGAGGUAGAUAAGGAGCAGUCCCAGAGCCUGAGGGAGCCUGAGGGACGAGGGACAGCACUGCAGGUGAGGCACUCUGGGACAGCCAUCUAAGAUGCUAAGAUGUAGAAAAUGGGGGUCUGUUUUCAGAGGAAAAGCAGUGUGCUUUACUAUUUCCUUUUGCUUAAGCACUUCAUCAUUUGUUUUAUUCUGUAUCUGCGAAGGACUCUGCAACUCCUUUGUUCCUUUAAAAUUUUGGUUUGUUAAAAUAUUGCCAAAUAGAGUGUUUGAGACAUAGUUUGUACCUGCAUUUUUAUUUUACUGUCUCAUGUUCUUGUACAUCAUUCCUAAUUGACCGAUGAUUGUAGACUUUGCUUGAGUAUUUUUUCUAAUAAAACAAAGCAAAUUACACUUAGCUUCAAAUUGUAACAAUUCAAUUUAACUUUAAGGUGACAUCUGGAAGUAUACAUUGAACAUUUUCUUUAGAUGCAUAGAGAACAAAUAAGUUACUAUUAUGUAUAGAAUUUUUGCUGUCAAAACCAUAAUGCUAGUUACUGACUAGCCUCUGAGUACGCAGGUAUUCACGGUCCCUUUGCUUCUGAUUGACUGGGCUUGACACUUGUUAGCACACCAAAAGGAGUGUGAGUAAGCUAGUUUUAUAACUUGUAUGUAUCCAUAUCCACAGGCACAUUCAAAGUGAUUGGAUAGUCAGGUAUGAAAUUGUAGUAGGUACCAUCUAUUAAUGUUUCUUCUCACCCAGCUCUGAUCUCCUGUGCCUGUCUCUCCAGGACAUUAAUGGCGGACCUGGUUUCUUGUUUUUCCCCCAAACAUGUCUGGUCCAGCACUGGACAGUGUGCAGCCCACAGGCACAGCUCUCAUUUUUUUUACCUGUCACCUUGUCUUUUCCCUGCAGUGGCCUCUUGAAGUAGUGAGACUUUAGGGGCCUGCGGCGUUCAGUGUCUGCUCUACGUGCACAUGCGUAUUUCUCUGUCUCUCGUGUAGCUGGUAUAAGUGUUGGAGCAGUAAACAGAGCACAUUGUUUGCCCUUAGUAUGGCAGUGAGCACGAGGCCAGUGUCCAAGGAGACUGACUGUCUCACACUCUGCGGGCAGCACCAGAGGCACGGAGCACGGCACACGGCGUUUAGGUGGAGCGCUCACGCUGGGUUUCUUAGUAUUGUUGAGGAUCUACCAUUUUACCACGCGUGCUUUGUCUUACAGGGACUGAAUGAGAAUCUGUAAGUCAGAUUCUGCAUUUCAACCACAAAUAACAUUUGUUCUAAGAGAUUCUUGAAGUAGUAAAUAUUGUAAAAAUUUAAAAUUCUUUAUUUUUCUAGUAAACCUUUUCGUACAUUAAUGUGGCUGCACAUUAAUUCUGAAUUUCAGAUGAAAAGAAAAUAAAGUGGACAAUACUUAACCCUCAAGUAUUUCCCCGUGUGUCUAAGUCAUUGACCAUAGAAAGCUGGGUGCGCUGACUAAAGCCGUGCGUUUGGGAGGACGAAACAAGAGGAUUGCCGAGAGUUGAAGCCCCGAGUAGCAUCCUGAGGCACACAAACCAAAAGAAGAAAUAAAUACUGAUAAUUAGGAUGUUUCUAAUGUCACACGUUAGUAAAGCAGGGACCAUGGAGGGGCUCAGCAGCUGAGUUCCUGGGACCCGAAGGUCUGAGGAGAGACCUGACCGGAGAUUUGUCUUCCCCACAAGUAAAUAUGCAAAUGAUCUUCACAAGGUAGAAUUCGCCAUAGUUAAAAACACGUGAGUUCUGUUGUUUGCAUUGAACUGUUUUCUUGAUGCAUGGUUGACUGAAUAUCAAAGUGGGCAAAUGUACGUGAAGCUGAGGCCAUGGUAUAUCCGGUCACAGCUUUAAUUUUUUUAUAGUUUUUGUAACACCCUUGUAUAAAGCCUAAAGGUAAACCAAAUUUUGGCCUAUGUGGGUUUCUAAUACAAAGUCUGACAUGUUGGUGUGUCUAACAAGGCCUCAGGUUACAGAGAUACAUAAACAAAUGUAGUUUAUUUAUAAAGAAAGAUUCAAACCAUAUAUUAUUUGGACGUCUUUUUUUUUAAAAAGCAGAGUGGCACUUUGAGGUUUUAAUUUAAGAUAUUUUUCUAUUCUAUUUCAUAAAAGGUUUAAAAUUUUGUGUAUAAAUAUUUUUUUUAAUUGUUCAAGAAUCUUAUGACCUGGUGUAGGGCAGUUUUGCAAUUUUAACACUAUAGCUUUAAUAUAAAUAACAUUUGUAGAGGUUUUCUUUGAAAUAAAGGUGAGACUAUUUUGUCAUUUUUAUUAUUUCCUUUAGAGCCUGAAUAGCCUUAAAAUAAUAGGCAUAAAAUGUUGUGUUCUGAUUUUUAUAUUGUUAAAAUUUAGAAAUAACGUACUUACCUUGAUUUCUUUCCCAAGUUAAGUUUGAACAGUGUCACAUAUAACUCUCUCUCUGCAAAAAGGGUGGAAGCAGGUUAGAGCAGGUUUUGUGUAGGUCUAUUAUGUCAACUAUACCAAAUUGCCUCUCAGCAUGAGCAAGAUGGUGAUAGAUGUGUUUAACCUCACUAUCUGUUCUCACUGUCUCACAGUCUGCCAGGAUCACACUCCACACAGAAUAAUGGAUGGAUGAAGUGUUUGCAAUGAGUGCUUGUUCACCAGGUGCUGUGGGGAAACUGCAGGGCAGAGGAGGACACUGUAGGGUUGAGAUACACAAGCGACACCUGCCCUUCAUACAGACGGAGUGAAGGGACCUGUGCUUGGAUGGAUAUCUAAACAUCCCCAUGCACAGGAUUCAAUAUUACGUUCAUUCCAUAAUUCAGUUGCAAUGUAAUUAUUUUGAUUUAUUUAAUCUCAUUAAAAAUAACUUGCUUUUGGUAGAACCCUCUAAGAAUAGUAAGACCAAUAAAAUUGCUGUGAAUGGCAUUUUCAGUAAUAUGUCCUGAGGACCUGCCUGGUCUGUGGUUUCUCCAGAAGGCUGUAGCCUUGCUGUCCUGUUAUGUUCCUCAUGGUUUACAUUCUUUGGCUGAAGAAAACAUGUUUUUAAAUUUUAUGAUUUUAUAAUGAUCUCUGUUUCUUGUAAAGAAAAAUUUCACAAAUUUAUAUUCUGAUGCCUGUGGUUCUUGUGUGUGCUUAAGAUGAUUACAUUUGGGGAGGGUCUCGAGUCACGGCUUGGGAUUUGUAUAGUUAGGGGAUAUGACCAUCGUAGAAAACGUAAAGGCUGGGCCCUUGGUGCUGUGCACUUGGAGAGGAACCCAGGAUCUUCAGCCAUCUUCCAGUGGCCUUCCCCAGCCCUGAGUCUUCUCUUGGUUUCCAGGUCCAAUACUGCCAGUUCAGCUGAGAACACCACUGGACGCGUUCAUAAAUGUCCUAAGGUCCUCUGUUGGGCUUCAUCAGAGAGCCUCAUUGAUGACCACUGGUGCAGGCAUGAUGGACGUCCACUUGUGUGGGCAUGUAAGUCUCAGUGAGUGGUUUGCAUCUCAGCAUACCUUCUCCAUCUUUUCAGUGGUCUGACUUCUGAACAAGAGGAUAUAGUUGGGACACAUAAUGGAGAAGUGCACUCGGUGUACAAGUGACUCUGCACUGAGUGAGGAUGGACUUGUAUCAUAAGUCAGAAAAUGCUGGAAACAAAGCACAGGAACAUAAACAUAAGUUCAGUGAGAACUAAUCUGUAGCCAGUGUGCUAGCUAUAGUUAGAACUGGGAGGAUGCUAUCAGAAACCUUGUCUUAAAAGGGUCACUAUACAGAGAAACAGGUCUCAUUGUGACAUGUUCCAUAUGUCUCCGUUGGUCCCUUCCUCCCCAACCCCACCUUCAUGAUGGGUCUCGUUUCCUUGUCAAAUGUAAUUUUAGUCAUCAGUUCAUUAAAAACAUUAUAAACAUCC
rnacentral:lncRNA from 1 species